UGGGGAAUAUUGGACAAUGGGCGCAAGCCUGAUCCAGCCAUGCCGCGUGAGUGAUGAAGGCCCUAGGGUUGUAAAGCUCUUUCAACGGUGAAGAUAAUGACGGUAACCGUAGAAGAAGCCCCGGCUAACUUCGUGCCAGCAGCCGCGGUAAUACGAAGGGGGCUAGCGUUGUUCGGAAUUACUGGGCGUAAAGCGCACGUAGGCGGAUUGUUAAGUGAGGGGUGAAAUCCCAGGGCUCAACCCUGGAACUGCCUUUCAUACUGGCGAUCUUGAGUUCGAGAGAGGUGAGUGGAAUUCCGAGUGUAGAGGUGAAAUUCGUAGAUAUUCGGAGGAACACCAGUGGCGAAGGCGGCUCACUGGCUCGAUACUGACGCUGAGGUGCGAAAGCGUGGGGAGCAAACAGG
rnacentral:rRNA from 1 species